ensembl:lncRNA
CAUAGGAUUGUUACAAGGAUUAAAUGAGAUCGCCCUCGAAAAGCACAAGGCACAGUGCCUGGCACAGCAUAAAUACUCAAUAAGUACAAUUAGGUGACCUGGCUUUGUUCUCAGCAGGGCCUAGGUCAGAAGCUCCCUUCCCUGCUGUCUUUACACAGAUGUUAGCCCUGUGGAGACAGAACUCCAGGUGAUUGGACCAUAGGUGGACAUCUGACCCUAAGGAAAGCAGUCAUUUGAAGGCAGAAUCAGCUACACUGAAAAGCGAGUCCCUGUCUCAAAAAAACAAAACAAACAAGCAAAUAAUCAGCUACACUGUCUUCCAGGACUUUAGACAAAGAAAGAAAGAGGGAACAAUAGAUAUUUUUCAGAUUUCAAGGGACACAUUUUACAUUGUACAUGCACUUGUAGUGCCUGGCAUCAUCUUGUGGCUUCUCAGUGAAUCAGCUGGAUGUGAAUGUGGUCCGUGAAUGGAGGUUUUGGGCUCUCUGGAGGCUCCUUCAUUGUGAUGAAUACAGACCAAGUCUGCCUGACAAACAAAGAAUUUCCUGGCAAUUUAGAGUUGUUUACAGAAUUGAAGAAAGGCUGAAAAUCUCAAAGACUGGCAGGAAGCAGGGAGUUCUGAGGUGGCAAGAAUGAAGGAACCAUGCAUACUUUCAGAAUUGCCCUUGCCUAGAAUGAACUCCUGCAGCCCAUCAGUCUUCUCAAGAUUCCAUUUCCAGGAUAAUUCUGGGUCAAUGUCUAUCUCAUCUAUGCUGCCCGUUUCUCAGGGGACAGGCAUUGUACUUGAAUCUGGAACUACAGCAGGGAACAAGGCACAUUGAAGGCAAUAAAUGAAAAGAUCUCAAUAAAGUCUUUGGCACAAUGUCUGACAGGAUCAAUAACUUCUUCAUCUUCACCUUCACAUCAUCAUCAAUGCCACAGAGAAGAGUAGCCAGAGA